AUUUCAAAAAAGUGUUAAGGUCAUAAUACAAAACACCAGAAAUAUUCAUAUAGGGCUGUGUAUUUUGUAACAAACUUUAAUGAGAAACUUCUCAUUAGGCUCAGAUGGUAGGGGAAAUGGAAAAUACUUCAAGUGUUCUAUAUUGUGCUUGCAUGCAUUCUGGGGAAAACCAUCGCGCCUUGCGGAGGUAAUGGGCAAUGAAUUGGGUGCUGGUUGAUGCCACCAGCAAGACUUUGAAGCCUGUUCUCUCAGACUAAGCAAGGCUAAGAGCAGGAAAAAAAAGAAGGACUGGCAAGAGAAAAGAUCAUCUCUAUUUCCAACUUAGGAGUUGCAUUUGAUUCUCAUAGUGGUACCAGCAGACUGCCUGACUUCUAAUCUGAUAAAAAUCAUUGCUGUUUCCUGGGAUCCAGAUCUUGCUGAAAAUCAGCCACCUGACCUUUCCUGGUACGCUCUGACAUCAGAGUAGCCUGUAUAUUCAUGGGCUCCUUGAAAGUGCAGACAGUAACAAAGAUGCUCAACCCUCGUGGCUAAGCAGUGGGUCACAUGCAGUGCGGUCCGUCCCGUGCGGUGAAUCCAGACUGAUGGACACACUCGUUUCCACGCUUUGUGUAUCAGCUGACUCCUCGUUGCUGGACAGAGAGCCAGUAAGCACAGCCACGGUGGGAGAAGGUGAUUUACCAGCCACUCAGGGUUCAAAUGUUUCACUGGACCAAACUCCAUGCCCUACAAGCUUAUUUAGGCCAAUAGCAUGAUGCAGCAGAAAAAGCGUGAGCUUCGAUGCCAAAGAGAAGAGGAACAGAAUCUCGGAUCUGCCCACUUUGUGUCCUGGAGCACAGAUAGACUACAAACUUCAUCAAGGCGGUUGUACCCAUUUUGGAGUGCAUUCAGCUACAAGUAACAGAAACUUGACAGUGGCUUCAACAAAUAAGGAUUCACUUUUGUCAUCUAAAAAAGAAGUACAGAGGUAGUGGCUGCUGGUAAUGUUUCAGAACCUCAACAAUGUCACAAUGUCUCUUUGACUCUUUUGGUCUUUACUUCAUGGGUUCAAGAUAGCUGUUGCAGCUCUAGCCAUCAUAUCCAAAUUAAAGCAAGAAGAAAGGAAAAGGGAUGAGGACAGCCAUAUCUGUCUCAUUUUAGUGGGAAAGCAAGCUUUCCAUUCUUGAGCUUGGCCGUAACUGGGUUGCUUACAACUCCAAGCGGCAAGGGAGGCUGGGAGAUGAGAUUCUGCAGGCUAAAUUGGG
rnacentral:lncRNA from 1 species